rnacentral:rRNA from 1 species
UACGUAGGUGGCAAGCGUUGUCCGGAUUCAUUGGGCGUAAAGAGCUUGUAAGUGGCCUGAUAAGUUGGACGUGGAAACUCCGGGCUUAACUUGGAGAGGCCGUUCAAUACUGUGAGGCUGGAGGAUGUCAGAGGGAAGUAGAAUUCCUGGUGUAGCAGUGAAAUGCGUAGAUAUCAGGAGGAAUAGCCGUGGCGAAGGCGGCUUCCUGGGACAUAACUGACACUGAGAAGCGAAAGCUAGGGGAGCAAACGGG